rnacentral:rRNA from 1 species
AGAGUUUGAUCCUGGCUCAGAUUGAACGCUAGUGGCAUGCUUAACACAUGCAAGUCGAACGGCAGCAUCAUAUUGGGCAACCGAUAUGGAUGGCGAGUGGCGGACGGGUGAGUAAUGCGUAGGAAUCUACCUUAGUGAGGGGGAUAACUCCGAGAAAUCGGGGCUAAUUCCACAUAAUGUUGUAAAACCAAAGGCAGGGGAUUCGAAAGAACCUUGCGCGCUAGGAUGAGCUUACGUCGGAUUAGCUAGUUGGUAGGGUAAAGGCCUACCAAGGCGAUGAUACGUAGCGGGUCUUACGAGGAUGGCCCGCCACACUGGGACUGAGACACGGCCCAGACUCCUACGGGAGGCAGCAGUGGGGAAUCUUGGACAAUGGGGGGAACCCUGAUCCAGCAAUGCCACGUGUGUGAAGAAGGCCUUCGGGUUGUAAAGCACUUUAGGAAGGGAAGAAGUAGCUUAUACUAAUAAUAUAAGUCUAUUGACGGUACCUUCAGAAUAAGUACCGGCUAACUCUGUGCCAGCAGCCGCGGUGAGACAGAGGGUGCAAGCGUUAAUCGGAAUGAUUGGGCGUAAAGGGCGUGUAGGUGGUAAUCCAGGUUUGGUGUGAAAGCUCUCGGCUCAACCGGGAAAGUGCAUCAAAUACCAGAUUACUAGAGUGAGAGAGAGGACUGUAGAACUUUCGGUGUAGCGGUGAAAUGUGUAGAUAUCGAAAGGAACACCAGUGGCGAAGGCGACAGUCUGGCUCUAUACUGACACUGAGGCGCGAAGGCGUGGGGAGCAAACAGGAUUAGAUACCCCCGUAGUCC